rnacentral:rRNA from 1 species
AUGGAGAUGGAGAUGGAGAUGGAAUGUGCUACUCCUAGCUCCAAGAGGGAGAGAGUGGCGCCAUCGGCGCCGCCGCCUUCUGGUGGUGUGUUUGUCGCCAUAGGGGAGGGAAGCGGCAAGUGUGCUCUUCCUCGAUCCAAGGAUGAAGAAGAGGGGUCUCGUGUGGACCUCAUCACCGACCUCCCGAACGCCGUCCUAGGUGAGAUCAUCUCUCGUCUCCCCAUGAAGGAGGGCAUCCGUACUCGAAUCCUCGCUCGUAGGUGGCGUCCUUUAUGGCUCACCGCUCCUUUGAAUCUCAACUGUCGCGAGAUCUCUCUUGACCGUCUUUUUAAUGAUGGAGAAACAAUUCAUAUUGCCAUCCUCUUGAAGCUUUACACCGUCACCGAGGCCGUCUUUAGAUUUUAUACCGGAACUCGGUCCUCUCAAUAUUCUGUCGUUAAUGUUGUCAGUCUUCCGGAAUUCAUCCUGUCCAGUCAUUCCGGAUCAGUAAGCCGCCUCUCUAUCCCGGCGUGCUACCUGCGGUGCAGACCUGCCACCGUUGCGGCCUGGCUCCGAUCGUCAAAGGUCAACAAUCUCCAGAGUCUUGAGUUCUACUAUCUGUUCCCAGGAUUCGCGGCACAAGAGGUCACACCACUGGGUGAAUUCAUCGUUCCCUCAGUGCCGGAGUCUGUGUUUAGGUUUUCCUCCUCUUUGCACACACACGGCUUUGCUCUUUGCCAUAUACCAGGCAAUUAUGCAGGGAUGCUUAAGUUACCGCUGUGGGGGAGUUCAUGCAUCACAAUAAACACGUAUAACCUUGGUGAGGAUUUGGAGCAUUUUGGGGCAGUCAGUCAAUACAGAGGUGUUCGUGCCUCUUUUGCAUGUAUGGAUGUGGAAUCACGGCCGUGCCUAUAUGGCAUGUAG